UACGGGGGGGGGCAAGCGUUGUUCGGAAUUACUGGGCGUAAAGGGCUCGUAGGCGGCCAACUAAGUCGGAUGUGAAAUCCCCAGGCUUAACCUGGGAACUGCAUCCGAUACUGGAUGGCUUGAAUCCGGGAGAGGGAUGCGGAAUUCCAGGUGUAGCGGUGAAAUGCGUAGAUAUGACAUAGAACACCCAUUGCGAAGGCAGCUUACUACACGAUCAUUGACACUGAGGCACGAAAGCGUGGGGAGCAAACAGG
rnacentral:rRNA from 1 species